rnacentral:rRNA from 1 species
GAUGAACGCUAGCUACAGGCUUAACACAUGCAAGUCGAGGGGCAGCGGGAAGGAAGCUUGCUUUCUUCGCCGGCGACCGGCGCACGGGUGCGUAACGCGUAUCCAACCUGCCCACCACUUGGGGAUAACCUUGCGAAAGUAAGACUAAUACCCAAUGACGUCUCUAGAAGGCAUCUGAAAUGAAUUAAAGAUUUAUCGGUGAUGGAUGGGGAUGCGUCUGAUUAGCUUGUUGGCGGGGUAACGGCCCACCAAGGCAACGAUCAGUAGGGGUUCUGAGAGGAAGGUCCCCCCACAUUGGAACUGAGACACGGUCCAAACUCCUACGGGAGGCAGCAGUGAGGAAUAUUGGUCAAUGGGCGAGAGCCUGAACCAGCCAAGUAGCGUGCAGGACGACGGCCCUAUGGGUUGUAAACUGCUUUUAUAAGGGAAUAAAGUGAGCCUCGUGAGGC